rnacentral:rRNA from 1 species
AUUGAACGCUGGCGGCAGGCCUAACACAUGCAAGUCGAGCGGUAGCACAGGGAGCUUGCUCCUGGGUGACGAGCGGCGGACGGGUGAGUAAUGUCUGGGAAACUGCCUGAUGGAGGGGGAUAACUACUGGAAACGGUAGCUAAUACCGCAUAACGUCGCAAGACCAAAGAGGGGGACCUUCGGGCCUCUUGCCAUCAGAUGUGCCCAGAUGGGAUUAGCUAGUAGGUGGGGUAACGGCUCACCUAGGCGACGAUCCCUAGCUGGUCUGAGAGGAUGACCAGCCACACUGGAACUGAGACACGGUCCAGACUCCUACGGGAGGCAGCAGUGGGGAAUAUUGCACAAUGGGCGCAAGCCUGAUGCAGCCAUGCCGCGUGUAUGAAGAAGGCCUUCGGGUUGUAAAGUACUUUCAGCGGGGAGGAAGGUGUUGAGGUUAAUAACCUCAGCAAUUGACGUUACCCGCAGAAGAAGCACCGGCUAACUCCGUGCCAGCAGCUGCAGUAA